UGCAUUUGUGUUGAUCAGGCACGAAGGGACCAGUCGAUACGAAGCGCAUCUUUAGGAUAUACAGGUAUAAGCAGCGUGGCAAAGAAGCUAUAAUGGCAAAUAAUUUUUUCUUUUACAUUACCUAUGAAGGGAGAGGUCGCACUUGGUGCGAUGACAAGUGUCUUCGCCCAUGAACGGUAGGUCUCGGGUUCGAGACUUGGGAGCAGCCUCUCCAUAAAUGGGGGUAAGGCUAGCCGACAUUCACCUCUCCCAGACCCUGCGUAAAGCGGGAGCCUUGUGCACUGGGUACGACCUUUUAUUACCUAUGAAGGGACAGUCGAUAUUGAUAAGAUCUCAGACCCAGUAAGUAUAGUUUCUGUUGACAUUUGUAUGAUUUUUUCCAUUAUUGUUUGAUAAUUUUUUUCAGUACAUUCUUUUUUCCUCUGUGCCAAAAUCAGGUACAACAGCGUGCAACACAGGACCAAAUUGCAUACUUUGGGCAAAC
rnacentral:lncRNA from 1 species